ensembl:lncRNA
GCUAUCGGGUGUCUUUCUUCUCACAUGGAAAUUGCCUGGGAAGCUACUGAAAUGUUGGCUCUGGAGUCAGCUGGCUGUCCUGAGCUUUUGAGUCCCUUGGAAGGAUUCCGGGGAGUUGGCUGAUAGGCUCCAGGACCUGGGAAGCAGGGAGAAUGAUGGCAGGACCGAGGCUGAUGGCGGCCCCUCUGUGCCAGGCGCUCUCUGGUGAUCUCCUGCGACCUGCUGGCUGGGGGUCCCGUUCUACACACAGGGAAAUGGAAGUCCUCAGAGACAAAACAACAUUCAGGGACUGGGGGAGUGCACAGAGCAGGAUUUGAACCCAGGUCCUGUCCUCGCCAGUCCAGCGGAGAGCCGACCCCGCAGAACAAAGCAGUGGCUCCCGGCCUCUCCUCCCCCCGGACUAGUCCAUCUUCCUCCCUUCGCUGUGCUUCUGUGGCUCUGCUCCUGCCAGAUUCAUACCGGCUAAGAAAACCACUUCUAAAGAGCUUUAAAUAAGAACUGCGUUUUGUUUAUUUUCCCCUUUACUCAUUCCAUUUCCAAGACAGUAUAAAGUAUUGCUUAAAAAAGCUGGAGUUUUCUUCCUUGAUCCCAUGCCGCAGAAGUGACUGCAGCUGAUGACCUGGCGUGCGCAGCACCAGACUUUGUUUCUAGGCAAAUAGGAACCUUUAAAGAUACAGGUAGAUAUCUACGCACAGAGGACUUUUUAUUUAUACAGAACGAGUAUAUAUAAGCCGACGUAUUAUAGCAACGUUUAUAAAAGCCGAAGACUGGAAACACCUGCCAUGGAAUCACCCGAGUAGGGGUCCAGUUCGAUCUAUGAUAUAGCCUUCGAUAGAAUUAGUGCGUGUCUGUUAGGAAAAGAGCCGAGCACGUACAGCCGUGGAGCUGCUCACAGUAUGUCGUUCAGGUAAAAAAGUGAAGGACAAAGCGUAUGCAUCAUGUGGACUCACUUAAUUUCCUUGGCAGCUUCACGUGGCUGCACCUCUGGCGUGGGCAGCCCUUGCAGGCACAGCCCAGAGUUCCCUGUGAGGCUUUGACAGCAGCGUCAGUGGCUGGAGAUCUCUGGCCUAAGCUGCCUUUGACAUCGGGACACCUCCGGAGAGCCAUGGCCACCCCAGAGGAAGUUACUUGCUGCCAUGUGCAGGGGAAGUCCUGUGGACCAUCUGCUACCGGCCCCAGCCCAGAUGAUACAGUUAGAACCUACCCACAGCAUCCUCUCCCGCCUUCAGACAGUUCCAGGAACAAGGGUGAGUCAGUCGCCCAGCUGAACUCCUGUCUUGCUACCCUGAGAGAUGGCCCCGGGUGCCAGCAGGGGGGGCCACUCCUGCCAGAGGGGCAGGUGCACCUAGCUGCUUCUCAGAGACUGGAAGGGACCCCCGCCCAACUCCCCGCAGUGGUGCUGCCUGCAGGGAGAGCCUGAGGAAGGCCCUAGGAGGGCUCAGGAUAGCCCUUCUCCCCUGAGCCCCUCCCCCUGAGGCUGUAGUCUGGUUCUCAGUUUCCAGUGUAGACCCUGGAGUUCCCACCACAGCUUUUCAGGAAGCCCGGCACAGAGAAGUGAGGGGCUAGUGGGACCUGGGUCACCACCCUGACCUGGAGGUCCCUGGAAGAACCCCUGGGUCUGUUUUGGGGUGCAAGGAGGUUGGGCCCCGUCUCACCGGGCUGUUGGGCCCCUGGGAGGAUGUUCCUAGAGCUGACCACAGGCACUCAGCUAGAGGCUUUGCUCACCUGCUCUGCUCCCUAUGAAUAGAGGAUAUCAGUCCUGUCUCUGCAGUCGGUCGUGAACCUGGGCACUGCCCCUUAUAAACUCUGCAACCCAGGGCAAGGUGUACUUAACCCCCGGAACCUCAGUUUGCUCAUCUGUAAAGUGGGGGAAAAUCUGACCUACUUCCUAGGAGGUCUGUGAGCAUUAAAUGGGGUCACGUAUGGAAGGAGCUGGCACAGUGCCUGGCUAG